rnacentral:rRNA from 1 species
AGAGUUUGAUUCAUGGCUCAGGACGAACGCUGGCGGUAUGCUUAACACAUGCAAGUCGAACGAGACAAAAGAGAAGUGCUUGCACGGAUCUUUUAGAAAGUGGCGAACGGGUGAGUAACGCGUGGGUAACCUACCCUAUGGAAAGGAAUAGCCUCGGGAAACUGGGAGUAAUGCCUUAUAAGAUAUAUUUGUCGCAUGGCAGAUGUAUUAAACGCUCCGGUGCCAUAGGAUGGACCCGCGUCCCAUUAGCUAGUUAGUGAGAUAACAGCUCACCAAGGCGACGAUGGGUAACCGGUCUGAGAGGGCGAACGGUCACACUGGAACUGAGACACGGUCCAGACUCCUACGGGAGGCAGCAGUGGGGAAUAUUGCGCAAUGGGGGAAACCCUGACGCAGCAAUACCGCGUGAGUGAAGAAGGUUUUCGGAUCGUAAAGCUCUGUUAUUGGGGAAGAAAAAAAGACGGUACCCAAGAAGAAAGUCCCGGCUAACUACGUGCCAGCAGCCGCGGUAAUACGUAGGGGACAAGCGUUGUCCGGAUUUACUGGGCGUAAAGGGCACGCACGCGGUUUUUUAAGUCAGAUGUGAAAGGUACCGGCUCAACCGGUGACAUGCAUUUGAAACUGAAAGACUUGAGCAUUGGAGAGGCAAGUGGAAUUCCUAGUGUAGCGGUGAAAUGCGUAGAUAUUAGAGGAACACCGGUGGCGAAGGCGGCUUGCUGGACAAUACUGACGCUGAGUGCGAAGCGGUGGGGGAGCAAACAGGAUAGAUACCCU